rnacentral:rRNA from 2 species
UACGUAGGGGGCAAGCGUUGUCCGGAUUUAUUGGGCGUAAAGAGCGUGUAGGCGGUUUUACAAGUCCGCUGUGAAAACUCGAGGCUCAACCUCGAGCUGUCGGUGGAAACUGUAAGGCUAGAGUCCGGAAGAGGAGAGUGGAAUUCCCGGUGUAGCGGUGAAAUGCGCAGAUAUCGGGAAGAACACCCGUGGCGAAGGCGGCUCUCUGGGACGGUACUGACGCUGAGACGCGAAAGCGUGGGGAGCGAACAGG